GAUGAUGUAAGGACUGAGAUUUGGCAGAGUAGCUAAACUCUCUGUUGACGAUGUUUUUGUGUGUAAUUUAAUUACAAAAGCACUCGUCAAGUUUUGGGAGAAAAUGAGUUAGAACGGAGAUUUUACGCGAUCUUUAGUUUUCACUUAAAGUGAAUAGUAACUCGGUUUUUCGGAGAGGCUAAUGAGUAGAGUUGGCUUCUGGCGCGUAUC
rnacentral:lncRNA from 1 species